rnacentral:rRNA from 1 species
UACGUAGGGGGCUAGCGUUGUCCGGAAUCAUUGGGCGUAAAGCGCGUGUAGGCGGUCCGGUAAGUCCGCUGUGAAAGUCGGGGGCUCAACCCUCGGAUGCCGGUGGAUACUGUCGGGCUUGAGUACGGAAGAGGCGAGUGGAAUUCCUGGUGUAGCGGUGAAAUGCAUUGAGAUCGGAAAGAACACCAACGGCGAAAGCACUCUGCUGGGCCGACACUGACACUGAGAGACGAAAGCUAGGGGAGCAAAUGGG